rnacentral:misc_RNA from 1 species
CAGAGACUCUGCCCCUUGGGGGUAGACCUCCCACCCUGUGUUGUUAUACCUUUGUUGCUUUGGCGGGCCGCGGGGCCCCGGCCCUGCCCCUAGCUCCGGCUAGGGCGCGCCCGCCAGAGGACCCCAAAACCUGAAUGUUAGUGUCGUCUGAGUACUAUAUAAUAGUUA